UCCUGUGUAGCUCAGUUGGUAGAGCAGUUGACUGUUAAUCAACUUGUCCGUGGUUCGAGCCCACGCGCGGGAGCCA
rnacentral:tRNA from 1 species